GAGAGUCUAGUUUAAAAAACAUUAGUUGGUCAAACUUAAAUUACACUAAACCAGUGUGAUUCUUU
rnacentral:tRNA from 1 species